rnacentral:lncRNA from 1 species
CAUUUUUUGUCUUAUUUUCUGCUGAAAUCUGCCUCACUUUAACUUCCUUUCGUCUUUUUCCUGCAUUCUAUGCUAUGUUCACACAUAUGACCCAUCUCCUAUAAAUUAAGCCUUUCAAAUAUUUGAAGCCAGCUAUCACCAUGCUACAUUCUCUUCUUAUACCAAGGAUAAAUAUCUUUAAUAUGGAUGGACUUGGUAAAACAAUUUCAUGUCUGUACUUAUCUCAGGAUUUCUCAUGUGGAUCCACUAAGGCAGAAAGGAAGCUAUUGUUUUACAUUUGACAGAUGAAGAAACUGAGUCAGUACAGUGAAGUGCUUUUUAUUUUUUAUUUUAAUUUUUAACAUUUCCACUACUUACAGCUAUAUUUGUUUUUUUAUAGAGACAAUCUGGAGGGUACAAACUAUUUACUGUCACCUGGCAUUUCUGUUUCCAACCACAUCUCGUAUCAGCAACCUUGUACAAAUUAUGGCUUGGAUUAUAGAAAAGGUCCUCUCCAUUAGCAGAAUCUGCUAAAUUUCAAGUGCUUCAUAUAUCUUCCUGGGAGCACUUCAUAAGAGAAUGUGCUGCUUCUUUUCAUCCUCCUCUUCCUCUUCCAUCUUUUCUUUCCUUCAGUCUUGUACUGUAAUCUGGAGUUUGGCAUAGUAAAUUAGGUUAGCUUUCAGGAAGA